ACGCUCGACACCUACUGGAGGCAGCAGUGGGGAAUAUUGGGCAAUGGGCGCAAGCCUGACCCAGCAACGCCGCGUGAAGGAAGAAGGCUUUCGGGUUGUAAACUUCUUUUGUCAGGGAACAGUAGAAGAGGGUACCUGACGAAUAAGCCACGGCUAACUACGUGCUAGCAGCCGCGGUAAUCUGAGCGGGCUGGCAAGGC
rnacentral:rRNA from 1 species